rnacentral:rRNA from 1 species
AUACACUUUGCAGGAAGGUAUGCCUGGUCUGGAAAAUCUGGCAUUAAUUCCUGGUUGUGUGUAAAGUACUUUCAGCGGGGAGGAAGGGAGUAAAGUUAAUACCUUUGCUCAUUGACGAUACCCGCAGAAGAAGCACCGGCUAACUCCGUGCCAGCAUCCGCGGUAAUACGGAGGGUGCAAGCGUUAAUCGGAAUUACUGGGCGUAAAGCGCACGCAGGCGGCACUUUCACGUGAACCACAUCCGCCAGGCUAUAACCGGCUUCAGUCAUG